rnacentral:rRNA from 1 species
GACGAACGCUGGCGGCGUGCUUAACACAUGCAAGUCGAACGGAAAGGCCCUGCUUUUGUGGGGUGCUCGAGUGGCGAACGGGUGAGUAACACGUGAGUAACCUGCCCUUGACUUUGGGAUAACUUCAGGAAACUGGGGCUAAUACCGGAUAGGAGCUCCUGCCGCAUGGUGGGGGUUGGAAAGUUUCGGCGGUUGGGGAUGGACUCGCGGCUUAUCAGCUUGUUGGUGGGGUAGUGGCUUACCAAGGCUUUGACGGGUAGCCGGCCUGAGAGGGUGACCGGCCACAUUGGGACUGAGAUACGGCCCAGACUCCUACGGGAGGCAGCAGUGGGGAAUAUUGCACAAUGGGCGGAAGCCUGAUGCAGCAACGCCGCGUGCGGGAUGACGGCCUUCGGGUUGUAAACCGCUUUCGCCUGUGACGAAGCGUGAGUGACGGUAAUGGGUAAAGAAGCACCGGCUAACUACGUGCCAGCAGCCGCGGUGAUACGUAGGGUGCGAGCGUUGUCCGGAUUUAUUGGGCGUAAAGGGCUCGUAGGUGGUUGAUCGCGUCGGAAGUGUAAUCUUGGGGCUUAACCCUGAGCGUGCUUUCGAUACGGGUUGACUUGAGGAAGGUAGGGGAGAAUGGAAUUCCUGGUGGAGCGGUGGAAUGCGCAGAUAUCAGGAGGAACACCAGUGGCGAAGGCGGUUCUCUGGGCCUUUCCUGACGCUGAGGAGCGAAAGCGUGGGGAGCGAACAGGCUUAGAUACCCUGGUAGUCCACGCUGUAAACGGUGGGUACUAGGUGUGGGGUCCAUUCCACGGGUUCCGUGCCGUAGCUAACGCUUUAAGUACCCCGCCUGGGGAGUACGGCCGCAAGGCUAAAACUCAAAGGAAUUGACGGGGCCCCGCACAAGCGGCGGAGCAUGCGGAUUAAUUCGAUGCAACGCGUAGAACCUUACCUGGGUUUGACAUGGAUCGGGAGUGCUCAGAGAUGGGUGUGCCUCUUUUGGGGUCGGUUCACAGGUGGUGCAUGGCUGUCGUCAGCUCGCGUCGUGAGAUGUUGGGUUAAGUCCCGCAACGAGCGCAACCCUUGUUCACUGUUGCCAGCACGUUAUGGUGGGGACUCAGUGGAGACCGCCGGGGUCAACUCGGAGGAAGGUGGGGAUGACGUCAAGUCAUCAUGCCCCUUAUGUCCAGGGCUUCACGCAUGCUACAAUGGCUGGUACAGAGAGUGGCGAGCCUGUGAGGGUGAGCGAAUCUCGGAAAGCCGGUCUCAGUUCGGAUUGGGGUCUGCAACUCGACCUCAUGAAGUCGGAGUCGCUAGUAAUCGCAGAUCAGCAACGCUGCGGUGAAUACGUUCCCGGGGCU